rnacentral:rRNA from 1 species
UACGGAAGGCAGCAGUGGGGAAUAUUGCACAAUGGGCGCAAGCCUGAUGCAGCCAUGCCGCGUGUAUGAAGAAGGCCUUCGGGUUGUAAAGUACUUUCAGUCGUGAGGAAGGUGUUAAGGUUAAUAACCUUAGCAAUUGACGUUAGCGACAGAAGAAGCACCGGCUAACUCCGUGCCAGCAGCCGCGGUAAUACGGAGGGUGCGAGCGUUAAUCGGAAUUACUGGGCGUAAAGGGCACGCAGGCGGUUAAUUAAGUUGGAUGUGAAAUCCCCGGGCUUAAACCUGGGAAUGGCAUUCAAGACUGGUUAGCUAGAGUCUUGUAGAGGGGGUAGAAUUCCAUGUGUAGCGGUGAAAUGCGUAGAGAUGUGGAGGAAUACCGGUGGCGAAAGGCGGCCCCUGGACAAAGACUGACGCUCAUGUGCGAAAAGCGUGGGGAGCAAAACAGGGAUUAGAUACC